rnacentral:rRNA from 1 species
GAUGAACGCUAGCUACAGGCUUAACACAUGCAAGUCGAGGGACCGGCGCACGGGUGAGUAACACGUAUCCAACCUGCCCUUUACUCGAUGAUAGCCUUUCGAAAGAAAGAUUAAUACCCGAUAUGAAGGAUGGGGAUGCGUUCCAUGAGGUUGUUGGUCAGGUAACGGCUAACCAAGCCUUCGAUGGAUAGGGGUUCUGAGAGGAAGGUCCCCCACAUUGGAACUGAGACACAGUCCAAACUGCUACUGGAGGGAGCAGUGUGGAAUAUUGGGCAAGGGGCGGUAGUCUGAACCUGCCAAGUAGCGUGAAGGAUUAAGGCUUAUGGGUGGUAAACUUAUUUGAUAUAAGAAUAGGUAUUAUAUGAAUAAGGAUCGGCUAACUCCGUGCCAGCCGCAGCGGUAAUAC